rnacentral:rRNA from 1 species
GACGAACGCUGGCGGCGUGCUUAACACAUGCAAGUCGUACGACAGCAUCUCUUCGGGGGUACACGAGCGGCGAACGGGUGAGUAACACGUGGGUGACCUGCCCUCAGCUCUGGGAUAAGCCUGGGAAACCGGGUCUAAUACCGGAUAUGACUCCAUGACGCAUGUUGUGGGGUGGAAAGCCUUGUGCGGCUGAGGAUGGGCCCGCGGCCUAUCAGCUUGNGGUGGGUGAUGGCCUACCAAGGCGACGACGGGUAGCCGGCCUGAGAGGGCGACCGGCCACACUGGGACUGAGACACGGCCCAGACUCCUACGGGAGGCAGCAGUGGGGAAUCUUGCGCAAUGGGCGAAAGCCUGACGCAGCGACGCCGCGUGAGGAUGACGG